CUACGGGAGGCAGCAGUGGGGAAUCUUAGACAAUGGGCGCAAGCCUGAUCUAGCCAUGCCGCGUGAGUGAUGAAGGCCUUAGGGUCGUAAAGCUCUUUCGCCUGUGAUGAUAAUGACAGUAGCAGGUAAAGAAACCCCGGCUAACUCCGUGCCAGCAGCCGCGGUAAUACGGAGGGGGUUAGCGUUGUUCGGAAUUACUGGGCGUAAAGCGCACGUAGGCGGAUUGGAAAGUUGGAGGUGAAAUCCCGGGGCUCAACCCCGGAACUGCCUCCAAAACUAUCAGUCUAGAGUUCGAGAGAGGUGAGUGGAAUUCCAAGUGUAGAGGUGAAAUUCGUAGAUAUUUGGAGGAACACCAGUGGCGAAGGCGGCUCACUGGCUCGAUACUGACGCUGAGGUGCGAAAGUGUGGGGAGAAACAGGAUUAGAUACCCUGGUAGUCCACACGUAAACGAUGAAUGCCAGUCGUCGGGCAGUAUACUGUUCGGUGACACACCUAACGGAUUAAGCAUUCCGCCUGGGGAGUACGGUCGCAAGAUUAA
rnacentral:rRNA from 1 species